GGACUACCCGGGUUUCUAAUCCUGUUUGAUCCCCACGCUGUCGCGCCUGAGCGUCAGUAACGGACCAGUGAGCCGCCUUCGCCACCGGUGUUCUUCCCAAUAUCUACGAAUUUCACCUCUACACUGGGAAUUCCACUCACCUCUUCCGUACUCGAGCCGAGCAGUUUCAAAGGCAAUUCCGGAGUUGAGCUCCGGGAUUUCACCCCUGACUUGAACGGCCGCCUGCGCGCGCUUUACGCCCAGUAAUUCCGAACAACGCUAGCCCCCUUCGUAUUACCGCGGCUGCUGGCAC
rnacentral:rRNA from 1 species